GCUCAUCUGCUAGUUCAGUUGGUAUAGAACAUGAGACUCUUAAUCUCAGGGUUGUGGGUUUGAGCCCCAUGUUGUGCA